GAUGAACGCUGGCGGCGUGCUUAACACAUGCAAGUCGAACGAACGACUAUUAACAGAACCUUUCGGGGCGAAGAUGAUAGAAGUUAGUGGCGGACGGGUGCGUAACGCGUGGGUAAUCUGCCUUUGUCAAAGGAAUAACUAUUCGAAAGAAUAGCUAAAACCGUAUAACAUAUUAAUAGGGCAUCCUAAUAAUAUCAAAACGAUAGUGGACAAAGAUGAGCCCGCGUCUGAUUAGCUAGUUGGUGAGAUAAAAGCCCACCAAGGCAACGAUCAGUAGCCGACCUGAGAGGGUGAACGGCCACAUUGGAACUGAGACACGGUCCAAACUCCUACGGGAGGCAGCAGUGGGGAAUAUUGCACAAUGGGGGGAACCCUGAUGCAGCAACGCCGCGUGAGUGAAGAAAGGCAUUUCGUGUCGUAAAAACUCUGUAGUAGGGGAAGAAG
rnacentral:rRNA from 1 species